GACUGUUUUUUAUCCUAUCUCUGGAACUCACCCGAAAACUCAGUCUUCUCUUUCUUCCCCAAUUUUCUUCACGCACGGCGAGUCCCCGCCGAUCCCCCGAUGAGCUUCUCCGGCGAACCGCCGUGGUCCACCCUCGGCGCGCCUACUGUGCUCCCCCGCCCCACUUCGCUGCCCUGCUCCUCCUCCACCACGCGAACCAUCAAGCCCCGGAGGGCUAUCGCCGCCGCGCGCCCGGAGGGCUGCUGCCGCCAUGACCCUGUGGCGAGGCACAGUAGACGUCGGGGCAAAGCUCCGAAGAUCGUAUUUUUGAAGAUUCGGGCGCGCUGUAGUAGGAGGUCGAGCGGCGGGCGGAUAUCUGGAGGGCAGAGAUGGGAUGCAUUAUUCAAAAGAGGAGGAGGUGGAGGCCGAAGUGGAAAAUCGCAUCCUGGACCUCUUCCACCAUUCUCUGGUGCGGCGCCAACAAGGUCGUCCUCGACAGUCGUGAUCCCGGCAGGGCAGCAGUUGCCUCCUCCCUCGGACUGUUCUCGACGCCCUUCAUGAGCAUAUGGCCGCACUCUGCUGGGAACCCGGCUCAACAGCGAUGUACCUCGGGGUCAAGCCGGCAAGAUCGCCGCCUGCAGGAGUGGUGCAUGUCGGGUAGACGUACCACCAGGAUGGGGUUGAGGGGCUGCUGAAGGCGGUUGACUUGGAGGGAGAAAUGAGCAAUGGUUUGCUGCUUAAGUCGUCGCUGCGAUGUAUGCCCUAGCCCCCUGAACUAACUCAGUUAGGUUUUGUCAGAAGUGGAUGCAAUCCAGCAGGGGUUUGGAGUCCCACAAGCAGGGUCUCGGAAGCGGUCCAGAAAGGACUGACCAAUGAGGACAGCCAAAAUGAUAUAGUAGGAGGCUAUUUAUGGAAGGUACUUCGCUAAAUUCGAUGUUCCAACCUACUGUAAUACUACUUUCCAGUGUGGUUGUGAUAUGAUGCAUUCCACACAAACCAGCUUUUUUUUUGGAAACCAGUUUCCUCCGACUGGAGCCACCAUGCCAUUCCACACAAACAUCUGAAGCUGGAGUGUGUCAAGUCCUCUGCGGUGCAAAGCAGGAUGUGUCACUGUGGAUGUCCCCAAUUGGACAGCAAGUAAGAGGAUGUCAAAAUAUGGCAACCCUGUAGCACAUAAUUCAGUUUUUAGUGUUAGCUAGAUUAAACCUUAAGUGUGCAAUUUGAUCUGCUCAGUUCCUGCAUUAAAUACCUUUGAUAUUUGGAUGAUUUAUAAGUGCCCAUCAUUUACCUGUUUUGAGCAUGUAUUAGAGGUAUAUGUUCUUUCGAAGACCAGUCCUGAGGGUAUGUUACUACUUUGUUAGAUGCUUUUUACUGAGCAGAGUAGACGUUAAUUUCAGGGAAGUCUAAGGGUAGAUAUUUUAUGUUUGUUAACAAAAAAAAACUUGCAUAGAGAGGGGCACACACUACCAUCAAAUUAGUUUUCUUCAGAUCGACCUCAUUGGACGGAUAUAUUAUGUGUGAAAUUUGGCAAUUUGGUGGUGGAUAGUCUAUCAUCAUAGUCUUAUUUUCUUUUCUUACCUUGGCAAGCUAAAGAUUAUUUUUCCUUUGAGACAAACAUUAAAUUUUGAGGCAUCCAUGAUCUGGCCCUGUGGUUCGAGCACACGAGCUUGUGGUGUUCGAAUGUUGGUGCCCGACAGUCUACAGAGCCGCUAAUGAACUACCAGGACAUAUCUGCCAGUAAUACAGGAGCGUGAUGUUAGUACUGGAUUGUGUGGCCUUCAAAGUUUCCUCUAUAAUGUCUCCACAAAGGAUUAUAGAUGUUGACUAUUUUUUUUUAAACUGAGGUAAAUCAAUCCCCUUCUAAGUUCUUCUCUACUUUCCUUCUUCCCGUAGCAAUUUCUGUACAUUUAUGUAUUUCAAGUGUGCAGAUAAUUUGUGUUUUUUUCCUUCUUCCACUAUUUCUAAUCAUAUAUGAGUCCCUGUUAAAAAAAAGAUCUGCAAUAAGUGCCAUUUUCGAUCUCUUCUGCUCUAUCCAUGUGAUUGCAGCAGGUAGAUCCAUGGUCCUGAAUGUUAGCUUAUUCCUUAAUGGCCAUACACCAAACUUCUCCGAUUUUGUUAUUUUAGCUUUCUUCGUCAACAAUUAGGUUACUUUAUAUUUCUGAAUUGUGAUCAGAUCUUUGUAAUACAUGGGACUGUACAAUUUUCCAGCAAAUAUUAUUUUCUCUUUGUACCCAUUUAAUGCUAGAGAAUUACUUCCUGGAGGGUUUCUUCCAAAUUGAUUGUUAAAAUUUUCACAUUAAGAACUCAUUGACCUAUUUUUCUGAACAUUAAAUUGCUGUCAUCUUUCCACUGAAGUUUUGAAGCUUAUAGGUAUUUCUCCUGCAAGUUUGUCUUAUUUUUCUAUAGAAAACCUCCAUAUUAUGUUCACCUUCCGGUUCAGAAGUUGCCCGUCCAUAGUUGCAGCACACCCUCCUGGCCCCACUCUGCCGCGGUGACCAAUUCUUAUGUGUCAUGUUAAGUUGUUGCCACUGGAAGAACGAGCAAAUAUGAUGAUUUCCUAACUGUGAUAAUUGCAUGUGUAAGUCCUUUGUUUAAUUCUAAAUAAGAUUCUUCAGUUGCUAAUUUCUUUUAGGAUAAAUCCCACAAUCCGGACAUAUCCAUUGUAUCUGGUUAAGAAAAGAUUGGGAGCAUAUGAUUUGUUCUGUUUAUUGGAUGUUGAAUAUGAAACUCUCAAACCUUCGUGGAUCUUGCUGCCCGUAGGAACAUUCCAUGUUUUCUCAGCUAAAAUAUAGCCAGUGGCACAGAAGAGGUUAGAUUUUGUUUUUACUUGAAUUUAUGUUCGCUUUGUAAUCCCAAAUUUCCUUUCUAAUUGGCAUCUGAUAGUGUGCGUACGGUUCGAUGUAGGUAUAAUAUUGACAUUUGCAAAUGCACUGCUAGAAAAUUUAACAAAAUAUAUGUGAAAUAUGCCAAUGAUUCUCUAUUCGCAGGUUAGGCACUCAUGAUGCAUACUCAUGUGGUUUAUUAUGCCUUCAAAGAGCCUCCGUGAAACCUGGUCUGUUAGAUGCAUAUUAGAGAAUACCAGAGAUAAUUGUUUUGUUGCAAUUGAUUUCUAUCUGGUGUUCUGCCUUUGUUUAGAUUCCGUUUGUGUGCUGGUAGUGUGAUUUCUGCGGACUACUCAGAUGUUCCUUCUGUUGGUGGAUACAAUUACUAGAUUGCAUAUAUUCGGUUUGUGAGCUGACUAAAUAUUUACUUUCAGAUUUUUUGACAGUAUGAACACAUCAGCGUGUAUGCUCUUAUGCCAAUUCAUAUCUUCACCGAUUUGUAUUGCUAAGAGUGGAGAAGCUACAUCAUCCAGUGUGUAUCAGCCUGCCAAUGGCUUCCCCGAAUUAAACACUUUCAGUGGUACUAUUACAGUUUGUAGUUUGAGGAUAUAAACUGAGCAGGUAAUCCUUUAGUUCAGCCUUGCUUUAGUGAAUAUGUAUCAUAUUACAGUUAUAAAUCCUUGCGUUCCAGCUGAUCAGAGCAUAUAUAGGUAUGAAGGUGUACAUCGACAUUACUAUGUAAACUCAGUUCCUCCAUUAGUAGAAUUAUUACUUUCUUAUAAGAGAUAAUAGGCAAUAUUAUGUACGAUUUCUCAACCUGAUGAGCUACUUUAAGGUGUUUACAUACAAAAUGAUACAUACCAUGUCAAAUCUUCUGAGAAAUUGUAACUUAGCUAUAAUUUAGUUCGACCUUCAUAUUUUAUCUAUGAUAUAUUUAUUUUCAAAAAUGUGUUCUAAUGAUUAAUUCCCUAAAAAUUAUCUCUAUGAUUUGCACUUUAACAAGUCAGAGGGAAGUCGGGAACCGUUGAAGGCCCUAUUGAUAUUUAGCAGUUCAGUACAUGGCCUGUUUGAAUCAAAGGAUUGAACAGAGAGUGGAUGAUUGAAAUACUUAGAAUAUUUUCUGAUGGGAGUUGUUUGAUUUAUCACUUAUUUUCCCACGGGAUUUAUCACACAUUUUAUUAAAUGAAUUUCAUUUACUCAAAACCUAUUUGAAAUAAUAUAUUACUUAUCCUAUGGCUCAAUAGAAUAACUAAUUUAGUCAUGUCUAAUUUCAGUGGGAGUGACAUUGCAAUUAUACCUUUGGCACAUUUUUGGAAUAUUCAAAAGCGGGUCCCAUGGUUGCAUAAAAUUGAUACAAACAAUGUUCUGUUCAUGUUUUGAGUAUUGAUCACGUGUGCUUAUGUUGGCAGCAGUGUACAGUCUAUAUAAUAAUUACUAAUAAUAGCAUGCAUAUUGUCUUAUACCAGUAAAAUAUUUAUUAUCAUGGUGACUAGCUUUAUUUAGACGUGCUGAUCACACUAGGUAGUCCUCAAGUUCUAAUUUUCAUUCUCAGUGACAAACCAUUCUCCCACAUUCCGGUAUUUGAAAAUGCAUUAUGAUACAACUUUCAACCGUGGGUCCACAACCAAGUCCUAACAUACUUCAACUUUAUAGAUCUGUUGUUUCAAAUUAACAUGAAAUAAUUAAUAAUUUUUGGGCUACAUUUCUCCUUCAUUUUGUUGCAUAUAAGGAUAGCUCCCCAACUACUUUGCAUGCUUACUAAACAUUGCAAUUAUGCCUAUGGUACAUCAUUUUGUUUCAGCAGAUCCUCUACAUAAAAUGAUCGCUCUCCAGAAGAAUCAUGUGAGGAAGUUUGACAAGAUAGAACAAAAUUGACCUUGGCGGAAAAAGGAAUUGAUCAUGAACAAGACCAUCCUCCAACAACAAAUUUCAGGUUUGUGCAAAUGGUAGCUGCAGAGGUUCAGUGCUGAAACUACAUAUAGACGCUACUAUGUCACACGGACUGCUGCACUUCAAGCCACGGCAGCUCAGAUCACAGUACGCCUAUGUUAUGUGCACUUUUCACUAGAAAAUACUUCCACGUUAUACUAUAACCAGUGAUUUCUUCUCUACUUCGUGUUGAACUGAAUGAAUAUUAUACCGAAGACAACUCUUCGUCUCUUCUACCUUUAUAUCAUCCCUAAUCAGUUUCUUCAGUAAUAAGACAGUUUUUAUGCAGUUGAUUUUUACUCUGCCUUUCUAAUUUAUGUUUAUAGCAUGCACAUAACAGAACUCAAUUACAAUUCAGAAUGUCGAACUCAGUGAACUUCUCAGCACAGAUAAAAUUUACAUUCACUACGCGAACUUGUAGUAAAUACUGGAAAAAAAGAGCAACAUACUAGGAGAGAUCUACUUCACCAGCAUGAAUGGUUGCUCCCGUCCUCCCCCUCAGUCCGCCCUCCAUGGCUCUGUAUCCACCACGGCCUACCACUGCUGACUAAUUCCUCUGCAUCCAGGAGCUCAUCCUAGGUCGAUGACGCCCAAGUGCGGGAUCUCGGCCGGCCGCAAGACUCCAUCCCUGCAGGAGCCAAGGAACGAGGAACUCUUCCUCCUUUUCAUGGCUUACCUUUUUUCAUUUAUUUUUCUGGGUCUCUGGUUGCAGGAGUCAUCCUCCUCCCACUGGCACUUUUUGUCUUCUCUGGCUGGUUUGGUCGCUGGUGGUGAAGCCACUCACAGUUUCAGAAAAAAAUACAAGAUAAAGAGUAUUACAGAAAUAGUGAAAAGAAUAGUCAGAAUGGUGGGCCCAAUAUUACAGAGCUAGCACAUCUAGCCAAACCACCAUAUAUAUAUUU